rnacentral:rRNA from 1 species
CAGGAUGUGAAUCUGCGCUUUUAAGGCGCCGAAUUGUGGUCUGUAGACUUUGAUGUUAUCUGCCGGGCCAAGUUCCUUGGAAAAGGACAGCUGAGAGGGUGAGACUCCCGUCCGCCUGGUAGAAUGAAUCAUGUGUCAACGAGUCGAGUUGUUUGGGAUUGCAGCUCUAAUUUGGUGGUAAAUUCCAUCUAAAGCUAAAUAUUGGUGGGAGACCGAUAGCGUACAAGUACCGUGAGGGAAAGAUGCAAAGAACUUUGAAAAGAGAGUUAAAGAGUACCUGAAAUUGCUGAAACGGAAGCGAAGGAAACCAGUGUUUGUUGGUUCAUAUUUCCCUGACCACUUGUGGUUUGGGCGCUGUGAGCCUGCGUGGGUUUGUUUUGAUUGAUCCCUUUGGAAGAGCGCAGACAGAGUUGAUGUCUGUUGCUAGCACUGGGUUUGAUUGAUGCAGACGAAAUGGUUUUCUUUACCCCGUCUUGAAACACGGACCAAGGAGUCUAACAUAUGUGCGAGUACAGGGGUGUCAAACCCCGGUGCGUAAUGAAAGUGACAGUGGUUGGAUAUUUUGCACAAUCCGCCGGCCUCAAUCCUUCGGGAG